UUGCUCUUCAACGAGGAAUACCUAGUAAGCGUGAGUCGUCAGCUCGCGUUGAUUACGUCCCUGCCCUUUGUACACACCGCCCGUCGCUACUACCGAUUGAAUGGCUUAGUGAGGUCUCCGGAUUGGCCGCGGGGAGCCGGCAACGGCACCCCAUGGCCGAGAAGUUGAUCAAACUUGGUCAUUUAGAGGAAGUAAAAGUCGUAACAAGGUUUCCGUAGGUGAACCUGCGGAAGGAUCAUUAGUGAACUUGGCCCCGGCUCGCCGGUCAGCCUUACACAUCCAAACCUCUUGUGAACCGUGGCCCUCGGGCCGUAUCCAAACAUCUGUGUGAUGAACGUGAUCAAUCUUAAUAAACAAAACUUUCAACAACGGAUCUCUUGGCUCUCGCAUCGAUGAAGAACGCAGCGAAAUGCGAUAAGUAAUGUGAAUUGCAGAAUUCAGUGAAUCAUCGAAUCUUUGAACGCACCUUGCGCCCUCUGGUAUUCCGGAGGGCAUGCCUGUUUGAGUGUCAUGAAGCCUCAACCAGAUCGGGUUUCCGAUCGGGUUGGAUCUGGGCGUCUGCCGUUUGGCUCGCCUCAAAAGCUUCAGUGGGAUAAGCCCAAUGCUUGCGUAUUAAGUUUCGCUCGCACGAAGGCCGGACGCCCGCUCACAACCGCCCUCGGGCAACACUCUGACUCUGACCUCAAAUCAGGUAGGACUACCCGCUGAACUUAAGCAUAUCAAUAAGCGGAGGA
rnacentral:rRNA from 1 species